rnacentral:tRNA from 1 species
ACCCAGUUAGCUCAGUUGGUAGAGCACGAGACUCUUAAUCCCACGGUCAUGGGUUCUAGCCUCACGUUGGGCA